rnacentral:rRNA from 1 species
UACAGAGGUCUCAAGCGUUGUUCGGAUUCAUUGGGCGUAAAGGGUGCGUAGGUGGCGCUGUAAGUCAGGUGUGAAAUUUCGGAGCUUAACUCCGAAACUGCAUUUGAUACUGCGGUGCUUGAGGACUGGAGAGGAGACUGGAAUUUACGGUGUAGCAGUGAAAUGCGUAGAGAUCGUAAGGAAGACCAGUGGCGAAGGCGGGUCUCUGGACAGUUCCUGACACUGAGGCACGAAGGCCAGGGGAGCAAACAGG